CAACUGCCUAAGGGGUUGCGAGCUCUCUGAUUAAUUGGUCCGCUUGGGACAGCCUAAUCGACCGAAGAUUCCAACCUGGGCCAACCCUAAGAUGCCGCCGCCGCCGCCGCCGCCGCUACCUAGGCGAACCCUAGAUGCCGCCGCCACCGCCACGGCCGCUGCUGCCAUACUCCCCGACUCACAACCCCGCUCGCCGUCGUCUUCUCCUCUCCCACUGCAAAUCCGUGCGCCAAGAUCCCCUACCGCUGCGUAGAUGACCCACUUCCACACCGCCGUAUCAACGCUGCCGAUCCCGUCCAAACCCACCGCCCCCCAAGUCGUCCACCGUGACCUACAGCAAUCGCGGCGACUCCCUAUUCCUCUCCCUCCGCGCCAUGGAGUCUCUGGUUGGUCUGUGUUCAUUUCAAACAAGGUGGUCAGGACGUACGUCCUGUGCCUCUCUUUGUUACUGCACCUCGUUUGAGACGAACACAGACCAACCAGAGUCUCCUGGCAUGGCAUCAUCAGGAACCAUAUAAUCUCUUCUUGCCUCGAGAGAUGGGAUGCGGCAGGUUCCAUCUCCAAUUGCAAGCUUCCGGUCAUGGCCAGGCCGUAAGAGAUGCGCCAGUUUCUAUUGAUCAAUAAUGGUUACAAUUCAAUCAAUUUCUGUUGUUGCAAUUCAUGUAGCUUUUGGGCUAAGAUGGGUCGAAUCGUUUGAUUUAGGGACAUGGACGUGGUGCCGCGAACUCAUGUUGUCGAAACCUGUCCUGUUGUGAACAAAUGUAUGUGCAAGACCUAUAUGGGCCAUGACGCCCUAACUAUAUUGUGAGUGUUUAAGAGAUCAUGACUUGUGGCAAAUGGCGAUGAAACUACCUGCAUGCAUUCGCUCGUGAACAUGUAGCUUUUGCCCACGUAUCUUAGAAUAUUACAUUAUUUGCUACUUUGCAGCAUGUUUACUGAAGUUACUCAAUGUACAGUGCCUCCCACGGAUGGAAACCUACAUCACGAAGAGUCAUCUCCAGCUGCUGAUGCCCGUAGGAUUUCCUUGGGCAGCUCCUUACAAGUUGAUAUUGUCCUAUGAAGGGUAUGCCCAAAGAAUUAACAUACUUUGUAGAUUUCUCUUAAUUGUGUUUGUGUGAUGGAAGCUCUACUGCCGUCUUCUAGAAAUCUUAUUGUCUGCACAUGAAAAUCAGCAUAAUGUCAAAUGAUCCAUACCAUCUUAUAGUCGCCUAUGUGGAAGUUGAUAUUACAAAGCAUACUGUAUAAUCUAAGUUGUCCCAUUACACAUAUUUACUAGAUGAAUCUGUAUUAUGUGGCAUAAAUAAAAGUAAUGUUCAAUUAACUUUUACUCAUAACGAGAGCGCUUUCUAUGUAGGAAAAAUAACCGAACCUGAAAAUUUCCUACCCAUGAAUUUUAAUAGUUGGCCCAUCUAAAUUGUCCCAUUAUUUUCCGCACUAUCUUCUACUGCUAGGAAAAAUGCCUCCAGUAAUUUUUGAACCAUCAUGUAUAAUCUACAGUCCCAAAUAUGAAGCAUACUUUCCUCUUAAUAUUUUAGUUAUCUACCCUUUCAUCUGUCUGUCCUCACACACACCAACCUCACACCAACUAAAGCCCAUUAGACCGAAGAAAAAACCAUGUCCUGCCAUACUAUCCCUAUAAUUCCUUGCAAAUCAAUUAGAUUUCAUAUCUCUUCUAUUACUAACAAAUGUAUAGGUCAUAGAUGCAAAUUUAAUUAAGGUCCAUGAGUCAUGUAUUCUAUAUUUAACAAUAAAAUUCCAAAUAGUCGGGCGCGGCAACGUGAACCACCAAUGAUCUGUGGCGAAGCAUGGCCACGUGGGCUAGGGGGUCAGACCUCGUUGAUGCAUGUGGCGACACUUGAUCUUUGCAGGGAAUUGAUGAAACAGUCGACUGAACUGAUGAAACAGUGGACUGAAGCUCAUCUGCCUAGGUCCAAGGAAUUGAUGAAUUGUUAGUUCCUGGAAGACAGCUGAUGUGCGCCACUCACCGGAGGGGAUUAAUGAAGCUUUUAUAGGUGGUGUCAUCCUUUUUUUGGUCAACUGACUGAUUCGGGCAAAUCUUGGAGAUUGGUGCUCAUAUUUUUGUUUGUGGGGAGUUCUUUACUUGACAAAUCCGUAAUGGCUGCUUGUCAGGAGGUCUCAUUCUUUGAGGAAGGAGAGCCUAAACUUGAUGGGAAACCUAGAGACUUUGAAGGUUUGCUUUGCCCCUUGGUUGAGAUUUAGCAUGGCAUUGAUGUGACUGACUUUUAUUUAUGUGUGCUGUGACUAACUCCGUCUUAAAGGAGUAACCUAUUGAGCAGUUAAUAAUUCGGACAUCACCGCAUGAUUGCUUCAGAAGUGAAAUCACCAACCUGCAUGAAAAAAAUAGAAUCCGCCUUGUAUAUUUCUAGAGCUUUGUAACACCCUCGAUGCGGCUAUAGCUCCCACGUGUCGAGGCACGACUUAGAGACAUAACCGCAUUGAAAGCAAUGUCGCAAGUCGGGUAAU